rnacentral:rRNA from 1 species
UACAGAGGUCCCAAGCGUUAGGCGGAAUCACUGGGCUUAAAGCGCGUGUAGGCGGAUCCGUAAGUGCCUUGUGAAAUCCCACGGCUUAACCGUGGAACUGCUGGGCAUACUGCGGGUCUUGAGCCAUCUAGGGGCCUGCGGAACAAGCGGUGGAGCGGUGAAAUGCGUAGAUAUCAGGAAGAACACCCGUGGCGAAGGCGGCUCUCUGGGACGGUACUGACGCUGAGACGCGAAAGCGUGGGGAGCGAACAGG